rnacentral:rRNA from 1 species
GACGAAGGUGGCAAGCGUUGUUCGGUAUCACUGGGCUUAAAGCGUGUGCAGGCGGAAGCGUAAGCGUUUUGUGAAAUCCCUCGGCUUAACCGAGGAAUUGCUUGACGAACUGCGUUUCUUUGAGGCAGGUAGGGGUGCGCAGAACUCUUGGUGGAGCGGUGGAAUGCGUAGAUAUCAAGAGGAAUGCCGGUGGAGAAGUCGGUGCACUGGGCCUGACCUGACGCUGAGACACGAAAGCGUGGGGAGCGAGCGGGAUUAGAUA